rnacentral:rRNA from 1 species
GACAGAGGGUGCAACCGUUGCUCGGAAUUACUGGGCGUAAAGGGCUCGUAGGUGGCCAACUAAGUCAGACGUGAAAUCCCUCGGCUUAACCGGGGAACUGCGUCUGAUACUGGAUGGCUUGAGUUCGGGAGAGGGAUGCGGAAUUCCAGGUGUAGCGGUGAAAUGCGUAGAUAUCUGGAGGAACACCGGUGGCGAAGGCGGCAUCCUGGACCGAUACUGACGCUGAGGAGCGAAAGCCAGGGGAGCAAACGGG